UUCUCAUUGCUAAUCGUAUUAACUAACGACUUUAUACUUAUUCAAAUUCUUAUUUGCCAGUCAAGGCCAACACUCAAGCUAUGUUAAUUACUAACAUAGUUUUAUCUUGAUCAUUAACUUGAUUCAUUAUUCCUCUUGCAUAAAUAUAUAUAUAUAUAUAUAGCACAUAGCAUCUCUUCCUGUGAAAUUUUAUCUCCAAUAAUAAAAUUUCCAUAUGUACUUAUAUAACAUUUCUUAGACUAUUCAGUUCACAUCGAAUUUACAGGUAUCGUAAUACCUUAUUCUUGAUAUUCCUCCAAGUACAUAUUGAUUCAUUUCUAGGGUUUUUGGAAUUUUGUAACCCAUAUUUUCUCUAUUCUCAUUCGAAUAUCAAACCAUAUAGGUUUUUCUUGAAAAUUUUAAAUAAAUUCUCAAAUUCUCAUCUAGGUUUUAUUCUUUAACCUUUAUUCUAAUCAUUCAAGAUUUUAGAAACUUUUCGGGUUGUCACAU
rnacentral:lncRNA from 1 species